rnacentral:lncRNA from 1 species
GGCCUCCAUCUUGAAAACGGAAAAUAAAAACAGCAGACCUAUGAAGGUCAAAGGGGAAGUUAAGAAAAGCUGUAUCGAUUGUUGAGAUCUGGCGACUUGCUUAAAUUUCAUCAGCCUCACUUCUAUGGACUCUCAGAGCUGAUUACCAACUCCUACCACUGUUAACCCUCAUCCAGGAACAAGCUUAUGUCUUUAACAUUCUGAGUGGGCUUCAGCAUCCUUGCAUAUGUUCAAUUCUUAAAAACCUGUUGAAAUAAAAGAUCAGGAGACAUAGGAGGGAUGCCAGAAGACAGCGUGGCCUCACGUGUACCAGCUCUCUGCUCUCCUUUGCCUUGGGACGUUCCAUCCCUGGAAGUUUCCCUGCCCACAUCUUUGUAGAGAGUCCAUUCUCCAAGCUUCAGUGUGUCAUCUGUUAGGACUAUGACCCACCUGGUACAUUACCUCAGGGCAUUCAUUUCAGGCUCCUUCUAAGUGGUCAAGUUUUCAAGAUUGUUUUGGCUCUAGCAAAACAAGUUGGAACAUUCACAUCAUCCACUGCACUGAUGAGGAAACUGAAACAGAAAAUCCAGAGUAAAUUCCACCAGGCCACACAGCAAGGUCUGAUAGAGCCAGGAGAGACUUUAUGAAAUCCAGACUCUCACACUAAUGCUCUAUCAGCUAGACCUCCAUGUGAGUCUCCCCAAUGUAGGUAGGAAGCACUUUCCC